rnacentral:rRNA from 1 species
GAUGAACGCUGGCGGCGUGCCUAAUACAUGCAAGUCGAGCGAACAGACGAGGAGCUUGCUCCUCUGACGUUAGCGGCGGACGGGUGAGUAACACGUGGAUAACCUACCUAUAAGACUGGGAUAACUUCGGGAAACCGGAGCUAAUACCGGAUAAUAUAUUGAACCGCAUGGUUCAAUAGUGAAAGACGGUUUUGCUGUCACUUAUAGAUGGAUCCGCGCCGCAUUAGCUAGUUGGUAAGGUAACGGCUUACCAAGGCAACGAUGCGUAACCGACCUGAGAGGGUGAUCGGCCACACUGGAACUGAGCCACGGUCCAGACUCCUACGGGAGGCAGCAGUAGGGAAUCUUCCACAAUGGGCGAAAGCUUGACGGAGCAACGCCGCGUGAGUGAUGAAGGUCUUCGGAUCGUAAAACUCUGUUAUUAGGGAAGAACAAAUGUGUAAGUAACUAUGCACGUCUUGACGGUACCUAAUCAGAAAGCCACGGCUAACUACGUG